CAACCUACAGGAACCAAAAAGUUGUACCUUAUGCAGUGGACCCCAGGUAUCUGACCCAAGCUGCAGAAGUUAGAAGGUUUUACAGGAAUGAAUUUGUCUGAGUUGAGGACAAAAUCUGGCAGA